CUUUAACGCUGGCGGCAGGCCUAACACAUGCAAGUCGAACGGUAACAGGAAGAAGCUUGCUUCUUUGCUGACGAGUGGCGGACGGGUGAGUAAUGUCUGGGAAACUGCCUGAUGGAGGGGGAUAACUACUGGAAACGGUAGCUAAUACCGCAUAACGUCGCAAGACCAAAGAGGGGGACCUUCGGGCCUCUUGCCAUCGGAUGUGCCCAGAUGGGAUUAGCUAGUAGGUGGGGUAACGGCUCACCUAGGCGACGAUCCCUAGCUGGUCUGAGAGGAUGACCAGCCACACUGGAACUGAGACACGGUCCAGACUCCUACGGGAGGCAGCAGUGGGGAAUAUUGCACAAUGGGCGCAAGACUGAUGCAGCCAUGCCGCGUGGAUGAAGAAGGCCUUCGGGUUGUAAAGUACUUUCAGCGGGGAGGAAGGGAGUAAAGUUAAUACCUUUGCUCAUUGACGUUACCCGCAGAAGAAGCACCGGCUAACUCCGUG
rnacentral:rRNA from 1 species